ACAGCGACUUCGCUCGUAAAGGCAAAGCGCGUCUCUCGCUCCGAGUCGAAAUCGCCCACGACGGCCAGCUUGCCGUCGAGUUCGAGGGCAUCUUUGUCGCCGUUCGCUAAACUCCCGGCUUCGCCUUUGCUGCCAUAGUUUCUUCCACGCGCUGCCGGAAGCCCUCCAACCCGUCUCGCGUCCGCUCCUCCACCAGCUCCGGCCGGUGCCAGCCCUCAUCGGGAGUGUACCGAAGCUUCACCGUGAUCCGCGUCUUCGAAUCCGGCUCCGACUCAAAAGCAACCACUCCCGAGCUCUCCGGCCCGGACGUCGUCCGCCACGCGAUUCGCCUG
rnacentral:misc_RNA from 1 species